rnacentral:rRNA from 1 species
UACGUAGGGGGCCAGCGUUGUCCGGAUUCAUUGGGCGUAAAGAGCGUGUAGGCGGCCAGGUAGGUCGGUUGUGAAAACUGGAGGCUCAACCUUCAGAGGUCGACCGAAACCAUCUGGCUAGAGUCCGGGAGAGGAGAGUGGAAUUCCUGGUGUAGCGGUGAAAUGCGCAGAUAUCAGGAAGAACACCCGUGGCGAAAGCGGCUCUCUGGAACGGUACUGACGCUGAGACGCGAAAGCGUGGGGAGCGAACAGG